AAGCUUCUGUCCUUGUCUGAUGCAAUUUGAGCUUGCUAUAGCAAGAAAGUCUAACCUAUUCCAGUGGUCUCUUCCAUGAGACCGACUGUUAUAUAGACUUAAACAGC